UACGUAGGUGACAAGCGUUGUCCGGAUUUACUGGGCGUAAAGGGCGCGUAGGCGGUCACGCACGUCCGUUGUGAAAUCGCUCGGCUCAACUGGGCGGGGUCAGCGGAUACGGCGUGGCUGGAGCAAGCUAGGGGGCAAUGGAAUUCCCGGUGUAGUGGUGGAAUGCGUAGAUAUCGGGAGGAACACCAGUGGCGAAGGCGGUUGCCUGGAGCUUUGCUGACGCUGAUGCGCGAAAGCGUGGGGAGCGAUCCGG
rnacentral:rRNA from 1 species